AGCUUUACGCAGUGGCAGUAUCAUAGGCAAUGAGGUUUAUCCAAGGUGCAAUAUUGCUAAUUGAAAACUUUUCCCAAAGCUGAUAAAAAUGAAAAUUCACUAAUAUCAGGACCUAUAGAAUACCACUAAAAUAUUCAUAUA